rnacentral:lncRNA from 1 species
ACCAUCUUUGUGUGAGGUUGUUAAGCUUUUAGGUAUAAAAGCUCUUCUGUUGGCCAUACGAGUUCUGAAAGAUACUGAUACGGGAUACGUUCAGCAGGAUUUGUGAAAAGACUUGGUUCUCUGGCUUUGAGGUAUUCUGAGGUAUAUCCUAGGACAUCUUUUCGGCUGUCACGAACUCCGUGAACGAAAAUACCUCCAGGUUCCAGGCAGGUUGUGGUUUUGAUGUGAUAAUUUAAAGG